rnacentral:rRNA from 1 species
UACGAAGGGGGCUAGCGUUGCUCGGAAUACUGGGCGUAAAGCGCACGUAGGCGGUCUUUUAAGUCGGGGGUGAAAUCCUGGAGCUCAACUCCAGAACUGCCUCGAUACUGGAAGACUUGAGUCCGGGAGAGGUGAGUGGAACUGCGAGUGUAGAGGUGAAAUUCGUAGAUAUUCGCAAGAACACCAGUGGCGAAGGCGGCUCACUGGCCCGAUACUGACGCUGAGGCACGAAAGCGUGGGAGCAACAGGG